UACAGAGGGUGCGAGCGUUAAUCGGAAUUACUGGGCGUAAAGCGCGCGUAGGCGGCUUUGCAAGUCGGGUGUGAAAUCCCCAGGCUUAACCUGGGAACUGCAUUCGAGACUGCAUUGCUAGAGUAUGGGAGAGGGAAGUGGAAUUUCCGGUGUAGCGGUGAAAUGCGUAGAUAUCGGAAGGAACAUCAGUGGCGAAAGCGACUUCCUGGACCAAUACUGACGCUGAGGCGCGAAAGCGUGGGGAGCGAACCGG
rnacentral:rRNA from 1 species